AUUGAACGCUGGCGGCAGGCUUAACACAUGCAAGUCGAGCGGAGAUGAGGUGCUUGCACCUUAUCUUAGCGGCGGACGGGUGAGUAAUGCUUAGGAAUCUGCCUAUUAGUGGGGGACAACAUUCCGAAAGGAAUGCUAAUACCGCAUACGUCCUACGGGAGAAAGCAGGGGAUCUUCGGACCUUGCGCUAAUAGAUGAGCCUAAGUCGGAUUAGCUAGUUGGUGGGGUAAAGGCCUACCAAGGCGACGAUCUGUAGCGGGUCUGAGAGGAUGAUCCGCCACACUGGGACUGAGACACGGCCCAGACUCCUACGGGAGGCAGCAGUGGGGAAUAUUGGACAAUGGGGGAAACCCUGAUCCAGCCAUGCCGCGUGUGUGAAGAAGGCCUUAUGGUUGUAAAGCACUUUAAGCGAGGAGGAGGCUACUGAGACUAAUACUCUUGGAUAGUGGACGUUACUCGCAGAAUAAGCACCGGCUAACUCUGUGCCAGCCGCCGCCGUAAUAC
rnacentral:rRNA from 1 species